GAGUUUGAUCGUGGCUCAGAUUGAACGCUGGCGGCAGGCCUAACACAUGCAAGUCGAGCGGUAGAGAGAAGCUUGCUUCUCUUGAGAGCGGCGGACGGGUGAGUAAUGCCUAGGAAUCUGCCUGGUAGUGGGGGAUAACGCUCGGAAACGGACGCUAAUACCGCAUACGUCCUACGGGAGAAAGCAGGGGACCUUCGGGCCUUGCGCUAUCAGAUGAGCCUAGGUCGGAUUAGCUAGUUGGUGAGGUAAUAGGCUCACCCAAGGCGACGAUCCGUAACUGGUCUGAGAGGAUGAUCAGUCACACUGGAACUGAGACACGGUCCAGACUCCUACGGAGGCAGCAGUGGGGAAUAUUGGACAAUGGGCGAAAGCCUGAUCCAGCCAUGCCGCGUGUGUGAAGAAGGUCUUCGGAUUGUAAAGCACUUUAAGUUGGGAGGAAGGGCAGUAAAUUAAUACUUUGCUGUUUUGACGUUACCGACAGAAUAAGCACCGGCUAACUCUGUGCCAGCCGCC
rnacentral:rRNA from 1 species